UUGGAGUUUAAACCGCAAGAUCUUGAUUGUUCAUUUGAGAUUAUAUUUGGGAACGGAUAAAGCGGUAGAACAGAAGACAAAACCCAGACCGACUUCGGUCUCGAGUUGCUCUGCAGCGACGGAGCUCAGCUCCCUCCUCCGUCGUCCGGCCGCCUCCCGGUGCAAGGCUGGUAUCCACAGGUCCGUCUCGUUGUCCCCGUCCUCAAGAUGAUCUUCGUUUUCGAUGGGAAGCUCCGGUGAGAGAGAAAAGGAGGAGAAGAAUUUCUAGGUUUCCGAUCGAGUUCGUGACUCCGGCCACGGCGGCGAGCGUGACCGGUAUUGGUAGCUUCGACUCGUCCUCCCCAUCCUCCCUGCGGUCUCUAUUUCGUCAAAGGAGCGUCGAUGAGAGAGAAUUGAGCAGAGGAAUGUUUUAGGUUUUAGGCCGUGUUCUUGAUGUUUUCCGGCCACCGGCGAAGGCAAGCGAGGUAUCAAUCUUCAUCUAAUCGUCGAGCUUUACAUGUUUCUAUAAUUGAAAUUGAGUUUGGAUUAAGUUUGGAAGAAUUUGGGUAUUGGGGCAGUGUUGUGGUGGCUGUUGUUCAUAACGGCAGUGGUGGAGGAGUUGUCCAAUUGCUUGUUAUCUUGUGAAGUUUAUAUUGAUGCUCUCUAAAUAGGUUGGCUUUGUUAAGCUUGAUUUUAUAUUGUCGAGAGUUGGAUUAUCAUAACGAAGAACUGGUGUUGCUCGAGAGUUAGGAAGAAUAAUUGCUGCUAUUUUGGCUAUUAUUAAUAGAUGUUGUUUUGGCUAUUAUUGAGGUGUGCCUUACGAAAUGAAUGGAAUUAGGAGCUUUGUUUUUCAAGAUAGAGGAGCUGAGUCAUGUGGAAGUGCAAUUAUAGGACAAAUUGAGAAGGCUGUUGUGUUUGUGAUGGUUACUGUGCUUGGAGUCCACAAUGGUGGUGAUCGUGAUCAUACUUGAAGAUAUGGAGAAUUGGAUUUACUUUAUUGUCAAGGGAAGUUGGUAAUUAUAGAUUUUGGUCAAGAACUUUUCUAUGGUGAGCAGUGAUGGUCUUAAAGUUUAUUUGGCAAUCCGGCUAGAGCAUGAGAAUAUGUAAUUUGGUUGAGAGUAACAUUGGGUGUCCUUGGUAGUUUUCAAGGACUUGAUCACAUUGAUUUGAAGUGAUCCGCCGACUUUCUCGGAAAGAGGAUUUGAUACGAGGAUCGAGUGCGAGUUGCAAGAUUCCAGAAGCAGAAGGAUAAGGAUUUCAGAAGCGUGUUGCAAUGUUACUAAUUUUAAUUGGCGUCGAAGCUAGCGCUUGGAUUUCAGGUAGGGUCUUUCUCGGGGAACCUUUAUUUAAAUUGAUAAUUAGAUUAUUAAUGAAAUUGUUGGUUUGUGUGGCAUUGAUUGAUAACUCUUGAUUGUUGAUUGUUAUUGUUUUCCUUAAAAGCAUGUGUAAUCGUUGAUUUAUAUGAUUGAUGUUAUUGCUUUCCUUAAAAACAUGUGUUUGAUAUUAUUAUAUUACGCGUAUCGAUACUUGAUUGCAUACAUAAUGCAUUGUGAGGAAUUGUGAGGAUAAUGAGAUUAGUGAUUAUGGAGAGAAGUGAAUGAGAUCGAUAGAAUAGAUACAUUUUGUGUAGUUGAGUUUCCUCAUGGGGACUUCCAGUAGCUAUGAUCAGCCCACUUGCGCAAAUGAGUUGGGAAAGUAUGCCCUUUCGACGUAUGAGUCGAUAAAACAAUCUUUCGGGUUUCGGGACUGUGGACCAUGAAGGUUAACAAAAGACUAACAAAAGAGAUACUAGAGUUUAUAUAUUACUGAUUUGUUAGGUCGUAUAUUCGAGACAAUCUACACGGUAUGAGACGUGUAGGUACAUUUGUCUUGGGUGUAUGGACUAAUUAGCCAGUAAUAGAGUGGAGAGAGUGCAUUAGCAUUUAUGCAUCAUUUUUGUCGUUAUUUAUUUAAAGUAUUGUUGGAUGCUUGAUAACUUGGUUGUUUAACAUAGUUAAGUAUAACCUAAAGAGGUUUGGCCCUACUGAGCGUAAGCUCACCUCUAUAGAUUUUUGUUCAG
rnacentral:lncRNA from 1 species